rnacentral:rRNA from 1 species
GACGAACGCUGGCGGCGUGCUUAACACAUGCAAGUCGAACGGAAAGGCUCCAGCUUGCUGGCGUACUCGAGUGGCGAACGGGUGAGUAACACGUGGGUAAUCUGCCCUGCACUCUGGGAUAAGCCUGGGAAACUGGGUCUAAUACUGGAUAUGACCUUUCUCCUUAUGGGGUUUGGUGGAAAGUUUUUCGGUGUAGGAUGAGCCCGCGGCCUAUCAGCUUGUUGGUGGGGUGAUGGCCUACCAAGGCGACGACGGGUAGCCGGCCUGAGAGGGUGAUCGGCCACAUUGGGACUGAGAUACGGCCCAGACUCCUACGGGAGGCAGCGGUGGGGAAUAUUGCACAAUGGGCGGAAGCCUGAUGCAGCGACGCCGCGUGAGGGAUGACGGCCUUCGGGUUGUAAACCUCUUUCAGCAGGGACGAAGCGUAAGUGACGGUACCUGCAGAAGAAGCACCGGCUAACUAUGUG